rnacentral:misc_RNA from 1 species
AUUCUUGGCAAUGCGAGGUAGUGGUGCUCCGGCACUCUUCCACGUUGUUUCUUAGAAAAUCCAAGCACGUGUUGGGCAUCAAACGACGAUCAGGUUGGAUUUAAACAUAGAGACCACUGCUUGUGUUGACGAGAAUUUUUCCUUUUGCCAAUUGUUGGGAAAUUUGCGCUGUGUUUUCAUACGAUGGUAAUAAAACGAGUUGGAGUCUUGUGCUUUAUUCGUAGAGGACCACUCGGCAAAAUUUAAGCAGCGAUGCUUCGGUUCAAUGCUUGYGUUUUGUCGGAAAAUUCAAAGACRCGUCGGGCAAGGGAUGAUGAUGACUCAAAUGACUUGACAAAACGGUGUUGGAUUAAAACUAAGUUGCGUCCCAUUAAGUUCUCGUGCACAGCGGUGCGGGYGAUGGCCUUUCUCGGUGUAUUCGCGUGUCAUUUGGCCGCGCCUCGCUUAGAAUUGUUGUUGCCUAGCGUACGUGGUGGCACAUGAGUGGUGAAUGGAUCGUUCGGUUUGGUUGGCUCCUUGCUCACGUGCAACGAACUAUCAAGCCUCGAUCCUCUUCAUUUGAAAGCCCCGAUGYCUUGUGCACUUCGGGGAACGGAUGGUUCCUGUGUUGAUUACCCACUAUGGAGGAAAUCAAUUGUUCGUUUGAUCUUUAUUCNNNNNNNNNNNNNNNNNAGAAAAAGGGUGGACCAAGUAGUUUUGCCUGUGUUCCAAGCAUGCUGAAAUCGGUUGCUAUGGCCCAUGGGCAAAUACUUGUGCUCUCGGGUGCAGAAAGUCAUGAGGGCGGACGAGACACUCUUGUCCAUUUGCCCAAUUGUUCCUUGAAAUGAACGAUGUCCGUUCUCGUGUUGAUUUGGUCAUUACCUUUGGGAAUGAUGCGGUCAAUCGAGU